GUCUCCUUGGGGCUUGCUCGAGAGAUGCCUCUCACAUGACACUUGCUACUCGUCUGUCGUUACUUCAACCCAACACUCAAAUAACGACCGACUAGUCAGUUUGAUGUUGAUACCAGGAAAGACUCUAGAACAGGUAAUUGGUGUGGGAGCACUUAGAAAAGGAUGCUGUGAUUACUAAGACCCAGCAUGGCUUUCUCAAAAACUAGUCAUGCCAGACAAAUCUCAUUUCUUUUUUUUAAUAGAGUUACAAGCUUGGUGGAUAGGGGAAUGCUGUGGACGUAGCCUAUCUAGUCCCCCAUAAUAUUCUUUCCUAUAAGCUGGUAAAAUAUGGACUAGAUGAUGACUGACCAAACCCAAAGAGUGCUCACUAGUACAUGUGAAAAUGAUCCAGGGGUCUUAUUGGUCUGCAAACUUAGCAUGAGUCCACAGUGUGAUGUAGCAGCAAAAAAAAGCGCUAAUGCUUUUCUGGGUUGCAUCAACCUAUCCUGACCAAGGGAAGUCAUGGUCCCACUCUACUCUGCCUUGGUCAGACCACACCUGGAAUACUGUGUCCAGUCCUGGGCACCACAGUUUAAGAAGGAUGUGGACAAGCUGGAAGGUGUGCAGAGGAGGGCAGCCAAGAUGACCAAGGCCUGGAAACCAAGCCUGAUGAGGAAUGGAAGUUUAGCUUAGAAGAGAGGAGACUGAGAGAAGACAUGAUAGCCAACCUUUUUUAGUUUUUUGGAAAUUCCCCCCAGACGUCAAUUCCACCUUUGGAAUCCCAGUAAUGUCCGGGGAAAUCCGGACGCAUGACAGCCCUAAUGUAACAUCAUUUCCUCUGGACUAUUGCAUGGCAAAUGAGGAACAGGAGUGAGUUCUUCUCUGCAAUUCUGCCAUUGCUUGGAGAAGCAGCAAAGUUUUUGAAGUGAUGAAAACCAUCUGCCAUCUCUCUUUAAAAGUACCGGGUAUUCCUCAAACUACCGUUAACAUAUUUUCCCAACACAACACCUAAAAUUGCUGAAUAUAUUUUCAUAGGGGACAUAAUGUUUCCCAAAAUAGUAAGAAUGUUAAUAUAAUCUGAACCCCAGCAAUUUAAGGCUUUGAAGGUGAUUAGAAGCCAGUGAAACCGAAGUAAAUAUCAGUCCACAGAAUCUAAUAUCUGGUCCCACAAUAUUCUAGCAGUUGCAUUUUCUUCCACAUACUCUUCAGUGGCAGCUCCACAUGGAGUGUGCUGCAGUGGCCCAUUCUUCAUGCAACUAAUGCAUACCUUGCCAUAUUUGUUAUGUGAAAUGAUUUUGUCAGACCUGGCCGGUGGCCAGAAGUAGCCUAAAGCAGGAGCAGGCGUUGGGGAAAUAUCCUGGCUGUUUCAUCAUGUUGUGGCAAAGCCAGAUAGACCAACAAUGCAUUGGGGAGAUGAUUAUCUCUCCAACAACUGUAAACAUUGCUGGAAUAACAGCUUCUAAAAGGUGUUAUAAAACCAGACAUGUUGUUCAAAACCAGGUUAGAAAACCAUUUCAGCUUUGAUCAUUUCAACUUUGUAUUGUAUUUUAUUUUCUGUUAACCUUUUAAUAUUCACCAUUUCAUUCUUCCGUGAUUUAAAAUGAAAGAAUUAUAUAGUGAGAAACUCAGUUAUUUCCUCGUUUCUUCCAUCUCCAGUUCCUUGUUUCUGGGUAUAAAAAGCUUCAUCUCAAAAAGGAGGUAUUGACUGAUACUUGCCUAACCCUAUAGAUACAUCCUUAUCCUGUGCUCUUUUCCAAUUAUUUCCAUCAUCCUGCUGCUUCCAUUUGGGGUGGGGGGGAUGUGUGAGGAGGAAAUAUUUCUGCCAGUUUGAAAUGGACACACACAUUUGGGAAUCUCACAGGCCAAGCUUCGAAAUUAUGUACCAUCAGGUUCAUCUGCCAUUCACAAAAGACUGAAACAAAACUGAGACUGUAUCCAAUGGAAACAUGGCAAGAUCCAACUUGAGAGGCAGUUUGGUCAUCAGGAUCUUAGUCGCAAUAGUGCUGCUGUUUGUAAUGUUUCCUUACACUGUCUGCAAGAAUCAGCCCAUCAGUUGCAUCCUAGAUGAUGACCCUCUGCCUAUACCUCACAAAUUUUAUCAGCGGGGUGACUUUGUCAUUGGAGAGAUGGUUUCUCAGGUCUUCCUCUUUCAUGACAGUCCCUCAUUCACAGACGUGCCCACACAGAUGUCAAUUGGCGAACCUGCGUAAGGAACACUUCCUUUCCCCCCUUUCUAGAGUUCCUUCAGAUUAAAAGGAUAUCCUAUCACUAUGUGACAGGAUACUACAGUAAUAAGAUUUGUGUUUAAGUAUGAUGAAAGUAUAUUUCCAGCAGUCACUGGAAGUUGCCAGCUAUUUUGUGUUCUUUAUGUUGGUGGCUGUUGGGCACAAUCCACUGGGAUGUUCCGCGACACAAAACUCGGACUUUGUGGGGCUUUUACAGAACAAUGUCACAGGGAUUGUUCCCUUCGUGAGUCUUGGACACGUCAUUCCCAGGCAUUCAGUACUUCAUUGUCUCUCACCUUCUGCUUAUUCUCUCUCUUCUGUUCACAUCUGUUUGCAUAUUUUAAAAAUAUUGUUUCACUUCAUAUUAUUAUAUUGUACAAUACGAAAAGUUUUAUUAUUGUGCUUUAUUCUUACUGUUUCCAUCCCAGUAAAAUUUCCUGAUUGAGUAGUGCAUGUCUCUUCACACAAAACACAGGUGGAGACACUGAUCUGAUGUGGAUAGCACACUUUGCAAGGAAGAUUAAUCUGUGGGGCCAAUCAGACAACAUCCCACAGUAUGCUGGGCUAGAUCCUGGCACCAUGAGGCAGGGAAGCCACCCCUGAUCUAGAUCUAUUAGGUUCUUUACUCAGUCUUUUCAUACAGCGGAAUAAAUGUUUUAAGAAAUCUAUUCUAAAUAUUUCAUCUAAAAGGACCUGCUAAUAGAUUAUAUCCUGCAAUAAUUUGUAUUCUAUAUCCCAACAUUUUCAGAAUUUUUAAAGUUCCAGCUCAACCAUGAGCGUAGUCAGAGGUGUAACGAUGAAAGCAAGAAAGGGCCUUUCCUUUGCCUCAUGAAACAGACAGUAACUCUCAUUCCAGGUCCGUUCCUAAGAACUACCAGCACAUCCUGGCUUUGCUGCUUGCUGUCAAAGAGAUCAAUGAGAAUCCCCAAAUCAUACCCAACAUCUCUUUGGGCUUCCACAUCCUCAACAGCUACUAUGUGGCAAGGACGACAUACAAAGCCAGCCUGAGCCUCCUUUCCUCACAACACAGGUUUGUUCCCAACUACAAGUGUGAUAUUCAGAGUAAACUGAUAGCUGUCAUUGGCGGACUUGCUACUGAAACCUCUGCCAACAUGGCUAGCAUUUUUGCCACCUACAAGAUCCCACAGGUGAGACAUAUUCAUUGAUGCAUGAGCAUUUUCCAACAAUGGCUCAUAUUUUUAUGCUUUUUUAAUCCAUACAACAAAACCCUCCUUCCUUUCAGCUCACAUAUGGAUCAUUUACCCCAGUGCAGGGUGACAAAACAUUGUUUUCUUCCUUAUAUCAGAUGGUCCCAAAGGAAGCCCACCAGUACAUUGGGGUAGUCAGGCUCCUUCACCAUUUCAGAUGGACAUGGAUUGGGCUCUUUGCUGUGGAUGAUGACAAUGGGGACAGGUUUUUGCACACAGUGGUUCCAUUGCUUGAUCAGAAUGGCAUCUGCUAUGCCUUCAUACUACGAACAGCAAAGAGGACAUUUAUGGAAGAGCUGAUAAACAUGGUAUUAGCACAACUGGGAAAAUACUCACUUCUUCAAGAUAGAAAAGUCAGUGCAUGUUUUGUAUAUGGAGAAGAUCCAGCCAUGCCAGUUUUGAGAAUGUUGUUGUUUUUCGCAACAUUUUAUGAAUUGCCACCAGUGGGUAAAGUUUGGAUUGUUACAUCCCAAUGGGAUUUCUGUGCCUUCUCCCUUCAAAAGCUUUGGGAUAUAGAAAGCUUCCACGGUGCCCUAUCCAUCACGGUUCGCUCAAGGGAGCCACUUGGAUUCCAAAGUCUUCUUGAGAUCAUUGAACCUUCUUGGGCAAAAGGAGAUGGUUUCAUUCAGAAUUUCUGGGAGCAGUCAUUCAGCUGCUCAUUAAAAAAAUCUGACGGGAAUGUGGAGGGAAAGAAAGCCUGCACUGGCCGGGAGAAGUUGGAGAGUCUUCCUAGUACUCUUUUUGAAAUGGGCAUGACUGGCCACAGCUACAAUGUCUACAGUGCUGCUCAUGCUGUGGCACAUGCUUUGCAUGUCCUAUGUGAAUCCAGAUGGAAACAUAGCAGACUGCUAGAGGGAGUGAGACCAACAGACUGUAAUGUGCAGUCUUGGCAGGUAGUUACACCUUUAAUACAACACACACAGAGAGAAAUAUAUUCAAAGCAGGAAGGUAUGCCCUAAAAGAUGCUUAAAUAUGUCUUUUCCCCCACAGUUCCUCUUUAGAACAAUUUGUGACUUGUAACCUGAAACUAACUUUGCUUGUUCCCUUCUCCUUUACUAUCCACUUUCAUGAUGUUCCAUGUCUUUUUUAAUUGGAAGUCUGAAGGCCAUGAUUUUCUGCUCUGGGUCCAUUUUGUUUUGGCCGAGUAUCACAUUUAAAAAAUAACAGAUAAAUAAUAUAACAAACUCAUCAACAGCUGUAUCAAAUCCAUGGCUCCCUUAACCAACUGCCUUCUUUCUGUGGCUCCCCUGUGGGGCUCUGAAGCCCACUUGGGUCACCCCUUGCCUGCAGAGCUGGCAGCCUCUCACCCUUUUUCCAACCCCCUCCCUUGUGCAGUGUUUCCUCAACCCCCUCUCCCUCUCCUUGGGAGUCCUCCGGGCAGCUGGUGCUGCCAUCCCUGGUCUCUGAGCUGCCCCCACCCCAAAGAGAGGUGCUUCCCAACCUUUGGGAGGCAGAGACUUGAGAGGAGGGAAGGAAGGAAGGAAGGAAGGAAGGAAGGAAGGAAGGAAGGAAGGGAGUCCAGUGUUGCCCGUGGCACCCCUGACCAUCAUUCAAGGCACCCCAGGGUGCCACGGCACAUGGGUUGAAAACCACUGAGAUAAACUGUUUAGCUUUAGCUAUAAUACAGGGGGAUAUCCACAUUCCUUUUGCUGCUGGCAUCUGUGUGGCUUGAGAAAGAAUAAAGUGUGUCUCCCGAGGUGAAUUCAAACUCCUUCAUUAUUACUAUGAUGCCACAAUGUGCUGAUCUAUGCAACUCUAUUACUAAACCCGAACCACUACAAAAAAUGAAUUUUAUGUUUGGAUUUCAUUAACUUUUAUAUAAUGCCUUCCAAAGCCUCAAAGAUGCUUUAUUGAAAAGUGGAGCAAAACUUUACAUAGUGUUGCAUGCCAUUUGGUGUUGGUGUAUAUCAGAUAUUAAAAGUACAAUCCUCUGCAUAUCUGAUCAGAAGUCAACCCCAUGGAGUUCAAUCAGAUUUAAUUCCAAGGAAAUAUGCUGAAUCAGUGAAAUUAGUCACGGAUUCAAAUACAUUCUCGAGCAAGAACAAUCCAGUCCUGGAAACAAAGACCUUUUAAAAGGAUGACUGUAGAGGUUUCCAUAUGGCUACAAAAGCUGGGUGCCUGCCCCUCUUUCUGCCAAUCGGUUGCAAGAGCCCAUGGGGUCUGUGUCCCUUUGGAGAAUAGAAGACACAGCAGAGACUGUCAGGCUUUGAGAAAUAUGCUUUAUUCCCCUCUUUACACCUUAAGUCUGCCUGGAGGGAGUCCAAAUCUUAGUCAUUCCAAGUCAUUCCAAGAGGGAGCAGCAAACCUGCCUACAGUCAGACCCUCCAAAGAUGGAUCUCAGCCCGUCUCCCUCCUUCGUCCUCCCAGAAACCCCUGUCUCUCUUCACACCCCACGGCAGAGGAGAAGUCCUCUUGCUCUGGCAAUGACCCUCAAUGGGCCCUCAAUGGCUCUCUAUGGUUUCCUUGGCCAGGCAGCCCAGGAAUUCCCUGUCUGCCACAGCUCUGCAGUUGGUGUCUUAAUCCAUAGCCCAGUUAAUCAAAAUCCUAGCAUUUAUUCAUUCCUAGGGUUUAGGGGGAACCUCCUCCCCUGAUCUAUAACACCAUUUUAUCCUUACUAGGCUUCAUUUUCUCUUUCACUUAAGCUCCAUCGUUUUAUCAGGAAGAUUGUGUUCAACAACAGUGUUGGAGAGAGCGUACAUUUUGAUAAGCAUAGAGAACUACUUGCAGAGUUUGAUGUCACAAACUGGGUCACCUUCUCCAACGGUUCUUUUGUUAGGCUCAAAGUUGGAAGACUGGACCCGCUGGCUCCGCAGGGGAAAGAGUUAACCAUUAAUGAGGACCAAAUAGUGUGGCAUAGAAGCUUUAACCAGGUGAGAUGCUAGAACAUGCGCGAGAAUGGAAAACAGUUGCAUAUUUGUGAGUUCAGUUUUCUACCUGCCCUCAAGUGGUUAAUUCUCCUGAGAAGGGUGGCAUUUUCAAACUACCCCCCCCCCUUCUUGUCAAAACAAACUGGGGAAAAUGUUGCUCUGCACUUUCACUUGAAGUACACCACAUUUCCUGGGUAGAUCUGAGUAAACAACCUCAUCAACACAUUUCAAAGUCCUGACCUCGCCAACAAUUCAGUGUCUUCUACAUGAAUUAAUUUCUGGAAACAAUUAAGUCAGGGUUUUCUCUCUGAAGCAAAUUUUCACCUAAGAAAAAUAUUCCCACGUUUAGGGCAGGAGGAUAAAUGUAAGCUUCUUGAUGCUAAUCUCGUUUGCUGCAUUUCUGGACAGGUUGUGCCUCUUUCUGUGUGCAAUGACAACUGCUAUCCUGGUUACAGCAGGAAAAAGAAGGAGGGAGAGAAAUUCUGCUGCUAUGAUUGUGCUCCAUGUCCAGAAGGGAUGGUCUCCAUGCAGAUGGGUAGGAAAUGCAAUGGAUGCCAACUUGUUGGGGGUGGAGAUCAGGCCUUGUUGAGUCUCUGUCUUCUAAAGUUGCUUGAUAUGCAGAAUGAACAGCUGAAGCUUUUUACAGAAUGGGGAGAAGACGUCAUUACCUACCCAUUUUGGCAAAAAAAAAAGUAGUUAGUGCCAUAGCUAGACAGAGCACUGGACAUGCCGUGAUACCUUCCUUUUCUACACUGGUUUGAGGGAAUUCUCAGUUCUGCCACUUACGGGUGGGGCCUCACAAGGACAGUUGUUGCCACUGAUCCUGCUACUGCCCAGGAGGACCCGGAGGGGUGCAGAGUUCUUUUUAACGUGUUUUUUUAAUUAACUAUUUUCCUUUCCCUUUAGAUUUUUUAUAUAUGGGGGUGGGAUGGAUGUUUGGGUGGGCUUGGGAAUUUAUUAGAUUUUGAUGAAUUUGUAAUUUUUGCAGUUUUUAUUUGUAUUGUUUUAUUGUUUUCUGGGUUGUUUUUGUUUUUUGUUUUUAUUGUUUUGAGGUUUUAUUGUUCUAGGCUGCGAAAGAAUAACAUUAAUUGCCAUCAAUGGAGGCUACUAUGAGGCCUGGGAUUGCUACCGUGGAGGGGCGAGGGAGGUAUGGCGGUGGGGUCAGAUGUUAUAGGCAAAGGGGAUCGAGAUAUGGAUACGCUCGUACCCCUUCCAAUCUGCACCCCUUCCCCAGGGACGAGGGUAGGGUGAGCAAGGAUUACUCACCUCCGUCACUGGUGCUGUGCAAUGCCAGGUCUAUAGGCAAUAAAACCGCCACCCUGCGAGAUUUCUUUAUCUCGCAGGGGGUCGACCUGGCUUGUGUGACGGAGACCUGGGUGCACGAAGGGGAAACUGUUACCUUACGAGAGAUGGCGCCCCCGGGUUUCUCCGUCCUCCACCAGUCACGGACUGUGGGCCGGGGGGGAGGGGUGGCAUUAUUAAUCCGGGAAGAUUGUUCUUUCAGGGCUCUACCAUCGCCAUCGAUCCCCCCUAGUGUGGGGCUCCGAGGAGAGCUUGGCUGUGUGGCUGGUAUACCGGCCACCUAGCGCACCAGCAGCCACCCUGUCAGGCCUAUUGGAGGCGGUGGCCGGCUGGGCCUUGGAGUUCCCUAACCUAUUGGUAUUGGGGGACUUCAACAUCCAUGCUGAUGCCGCUCCCUUCUCACAGGCUCUGGACCUGGUGUCUUCCAUGGCGACACUAGGGCUCUCCCAGUUUGUUUCGGGCCCCACACACCAAGCAGGCCACACGCUGGAUUUGAUCUUUGGUGUAGGUAUAGAUGUGAUCAUGUCUCCUUCGAUGAAGGUGCCAUGGUCUGAUCACUACGCUCUGAAAGCCAGGAUUGACUUUCCACCCCCACCCUGCUUAGGUGGCGAGCCGAUUUGAGGCUCGCCCGCAGAGGCUGAUGGACCCUGAUAGAUUCCGCCAAGCCUUGCGGGACCUUGCUCCCCCUGGCGACUCAUUGACUGAGCUUGUUGAGGGCUGGAAUAUCCAGCUCCUGGCAGCCAUCGAUGAGAUCGCACCUAAGCGCCCUCUGCAACCCCGCAGAAACCGGGCUCCCUGGUUUACCAAGGAGCUCCGGAAAAUGAAGCGGGACCUCAGUCAGCUAGAGCGAGUAUGGUGGGGUGCCCGUGAUGGAGCCUCAAGAACAUCUUAUAGGGCUUUUAUGAAAACCUACGAGAUGGCGGUGAAGGCUGCUAAGAAGUCUUACUUCUCAGCCUCCAUUGCAUCUACUAGCUCUCGCCCGGCGCAAUUAUUUAGUAUAAUCAGGUCUUUAACGUCCCUUGAGGGACAGCCAAAUUUAAAUAACAAUUUGACACACAGCUGUGAGGCAUUUGCGAGCUUUUUUGCGGAGAAGGUCUUGCUGCUCUGCCAUGACCUCCCUGCCAAUUUGGAUACAAUAAAGGAACUGGAGGCCCCUCGACUGUCCUCGGGUCCAGUAUUGGACCACUUCGACCGGAUAUCCCCAGCCGAUGUGGACAGACUCCUCCGAGCUGGAAAGCCCACCACCUGUCCUCUUGACCCAUGCCCGUCUUGGCUGAUUAGAGCGUGUCCAGACGAGGUGCGGGCCCCCCUGGGGGAUAUCAUCAAUUUGUCCCUUGGUACCGGGAUAUUCCCAGGGGAACUGAAGGAGGCAGUGGUGCGCCCGCUCUUAAAGAAAACAUCAUUAGAUCCUUUAGAUCUAUCCAAUUACCGCCCAGUUUCGAAUCUUCCGUUCCUGGGUAAGGUGAUUGAAAGAGCGGUUGCUGAACAGCUUGGUGGGUUUCUGGAUGAAACAUCGGCUCUGGAUCCAUUCCAGUCCGGCUUCCGCGCUGGUCAUGGGACCGAGACGGCUCUGGUUGCCCUAACAGAUGAUCUUCGUAGACAGCUGGAUCGAAAUGGGUCGGGGCUGCUGAUUCUUCUAGAUCUGUCAGCAGCUUUCGACAUGGUCAAUCACGAACUUCUGGACCACCGCCUUGCCGACGUGGGGAUCCAGGGCACAGUCCUUCAAUGGCUGCGCUUGUUUCUCUCUGGUUGGGGACAGAGGGUGGCGCUUGGGGGGGAAUUGUCAUUGCCCCACUCCUUGGUGUGUGGAGUACCUCAGGGUGCGAUACUCUCCCCGAUGCUUUUCAACAUCUUUAUGCGCCCCCUCGCCGAGCUUGUCCAGAGUUUUGGGCUGGGUUGCCAUCAGUAUGCUGAUGACACCCAACUCUGUCUGUUGAUGGAUGGCCAUCCUGACUCAGCCCCAGACACACUGACCAGAUGUUUGGAAGCUGUGGCUGGAUGGUUACGUGGGAGCCGGUUGAAGUUAAAUCCUUCGAAGACAGAGGUCCUCUGGCUGGGACGGGACGAUAUGGGGUUGGGGGGGGCAGCUCCCAUCUCUUGCAGGGGCGCAAUUAGUGCCAGCACCUUCCGUUAAGAGUUUGGGUGUAAUCUUCGACACCUCCCUUUCCAUGGAGGCGCAGAUGGCAGCUACAACAAAGGCGGCAUUUCUCCAUCUCCGCCAAGCUAAGCAGUUGGCUCCUUACCUCUCUCGCCCUGACCUAGCCACUGUGAUCCACGCGACGGUCACCUCCAGACUGGAUUAUUGUAACUCACUCUACGUGGGGCUGCCCUUGAGACUGACCCAGAAACUCCAGCGGGUGCAGAAUGCUGCAGCGAGACUCCUUACGGGGUCUUCGCUGCGAGAUCACAUUCAUCCGGUGCUAUACCAGCUGCACUGGCUCCCGGUGGAGUACAGGAUCAGGUUUAAGGUGCUGGUUUUAACCUUUAAAGUCCUAUAUGGCCUAGGACCCUCGUACCUACGGGACCGCCUCUCCUGGUAUGCCCCACAGAGGAACCUACGGUCUUCAAAUAAAAACAUCUUGAAGGUCCCAGGCCACAGAGAAGUUAGGCUGGCCUCAACUAGAGCCAGGGCUUUUUCGGCUGCGGCUCCGAUCUGGUGGAACGCUCUGUCACAAGAGACUAGGGCCCUGCAGGACCUGACAUCUUUCCGCAGGGCCUGCAAGACAGAGCUGUUCCACCAGGCCUUUGGCCAGGGCACAGUCUGACUCCCUCCCUCGGCAAUCUUCGCGGAGCUCUGGCCCAAUGGUUGCCAGUGGCUUGAAUUAAUUAAUUUUAUAAUGAAUGAUUUUAGAGUGUUGUUUGUGCUGUACUUUUGUACUGUUUUAUUGUUGUUAGCCGCCCUGAGCCCGGCUUCGGCUGGGGAGGGCGGGAUAUAAAUAAAAUUUAUUAUUAUUAUUAUUAUUAUUAUUAUUAUUAUUAUUAUUAUCAUUAUUAUUAUUAUUAUUAUACCUUCCUUUUCACUUACUUCAAUAGACCAGGUCCUGCAGUUCAGAAUUGACAUCCAACACAAAUUAACAUUACCCAAGGAGACUGGGCAUUGAAUCUGAAGUCCUAGUAAGACAAAUCAGACUCAUUCUUCAGUUCUGAGCAUGCCCAGAUAUGUUUCUUUGGAAAGCCACCUACUCAGCUACCAAGAAGGCCACAUCCUGCUGAGAGCUAGACAGGGGGUUUGCCAGCUAGCUUCCUUUCUAACUGCCCCCCCCCUUGUUGUUACUCAUUUGACCAGUGAGGGAUCUUUGGAGCAAGGAUGCAUUGGAUUGGCUGACAAAGAAAGUGCUAGUCAGUUUUAUUUAGUCCUGUUACUAUUGCUUUGUAUUUGGGGAAUGGAGCUUUGCUGGAAGGAAAAUAAAUGGCAAGUACCUAUGUCUUCUUGUUGGAAAAGUUUCCUGUGCUUUCUUGUGUCCUCCCACCCAGUGGUCAAAUCCUGUCCAUGAGGGGUUGGGUUGAUCACUAUAGAAUACAGUAGUACCUCUGGUUAUGUAACCCUCUGGUUACAUAAACUUCUGGAUGUGAAAGCGGCAAACCCAGAGGUAUUUGACCAGGUUUUGCCACAAGCGCAUGCACAGAAGCGGUCCUCAGGUUGCAGAAACCUCUAGAUCUGUCCUGACCUCCAGAACGGAUCCCAUCCGCAACCAGAGGUACAGCUGUACAUGAAUCAAAGUCUUGAAAUAUUUAAGCAUCUUUCCUUUAUUUUUCAGACAUGGAUACCUGUAUCAAAUGUAAAGCAGAUCAGUAUCCAAACUACAACCAAAAUCAUUGCAU